UUGCACGCUGGCGGCAGGCCUCACCCCUGCAAGUCGAGCGGAUGAAGGGAGCUUGCUCCUGGAUUCAGCGGCGGACGGGUGAGUAAUGCCUAGGAAUCUGCCUGGUAGUGGGGGAUAACGUCCGGAAACGGGCGCUAAUACCGCAUACGUCCUGAGGGAGAAAGUGGGGGAUCUUCGGACCUCACGCUAUCAGAUGAGCCUAGGUCGGAUUAGCUAGUUGGUGGGGUAAAGGCCUACCAAGGCGACGAUCCGUAACUGGUCUGAGAGGAUGAUCAGUCACACUGGAAGUGAGACACGGUCCAGACUCCUACGGGAGGCAGCAGUGGGGAAUAUUGGACAAUGGGCGAAAGCCUGAUCCAGCCAUGCCGCGUGGGGGAAGAAGGUCUUCGGAUUGUAAAGCACUUUAAGUUGGGAGGAAGGGCAGUAAGUUAAUACCUUGCUGUUUUGACGUUACCAACAGAAUAAGCACCGGCUAACUUCGUG
rnacentral:rRNA from 1 species